GGCGCGGUGGCCAAGUGGUAAGGCGUCGGUCUCGUAAACCGAAAAUCACGGGUUCGAACCCCGUCCGUGCCU
rnacentral:tRNA from 2 species